UAUUUUUUUAAAGCCUCAUAGGUGUUAAUAUAUUUUGUUUCUAAUAUAAAGGCCAUCUAGCGUUGAACUAUGGUAAUACUGGCAUUGAUCGUAUUGACGUGGGUCUGAAGGCUAAUUAGUUGCUGAUAGGAUCGACAGAGGGCGUGGGUUAGCUCGCUAUCUGCAUUUUAUUAAGUAAAAGGGUUACUUUUAUUAAUUUACAGAAAUUAAAACCUAAUUAAAUAUUUUACAACUUUCUUCUUUCCUUUUGGAAAUUAUUAUUAAGUAUUUUUUUUAUUGAAACGAGUUUAGGAAGCCGUAUCUCCAUCGUGCGCGCAACGAAACGCAGCGCAGCAGUGAAAGUAUCUUCGGUUUGAUCUGUCAGCUGUCUUUUUCAAUUCGGAUGAGAUGGUGUAGGUCGAUUCGUUUUCUUCAAAGGCCAGUGAGCCACAUUGUUUUUAAAUCGCGGUUUAAACCGCUUAAUCCUAUUCGAUGUGAAUCGUUUUGUCAAGAGUGAGCCCCGGGUGCAUGGAAAUUAUGCAAGUACCUAUCCUCCGAAGGCCUAUUGUCUGCCCCGGGGCUUCACGACUUACUACUUUACUAGUCCACGCGGUCGUCAGAGUCGAGCGUUUUACUAGUUUUACACAAUGUUCCUACUUCCACCACCUGGUCGCGUUGUCCCAAGCGCACCCUGAGGCUGUCUGCAGCUGAGAGUGGACUUGUGGGAGCAGGUCCGGACUGUUCCCCGGUACUUUCCCGGUUCGAAGUAUGGCGUCAGUGCAGGAGUGUGGUCUUGCAGACGAGGUCAGAGUGUUCCCUGUUAUUUUAUUAAGGCGCCCAAUAAUAAUAAUUUAGUAUUUUUACCUAUAAUUUACCAAGGUCUUCCAGCAUAUUGAAACACAGACUCACCCCCUGUGCUCUAAAUUAUUAUAUAUUUAAGUUACGACUGAGCUAGUUGCUAUUAUAAUAUUA